CCCUUUGUUUUCUUCCAUUACGAGUAUUAACACGUAUAUCUUACCCUAUAUUCUAUUAUUCAUUUUUUACAAUAGAUGAUGUUCGUUUUAACAUUUAAAUAAUGAGACAUACCACUAUAGCAAUGCACUAAUUCUCAUGAAAAACUAAAUAUGUCCCCGAAAUGUUGUUAACUAUUAGACACAAAAAUGUUUAACUUUUUAUCGCCAAACUUAAAAAAAUUAAGAGGGAAACAAAUUGAUUAAGAGGGACAGAUGGGGGCAUUCGUACUGUGCCGUUAGAGGUGAAAUUCUUGGAUCGGCGCAAGACGAACGACUGCGAAAGCAUUUGCCAAGAAUGUUUUCUUUAAUCAAGAG
rnacentral:ncRNA from 1 species